GCGGAUAUGGCGAAAUUGGUAGACGCGCUAGUUUCAGGUACUAGUGACAGUAAUGUCGUGGGAGUUCAAGUCUCCCUAUCCGCA
rnacentral:tRNA from 1 species